rnacentral:lncRNA from 10 species
UUUUGAGGGGUCAGGUGGGGUGGGGCCGCCACCUGCUUCCGUGAGCGCGGGGAGAAGCUGGGCACAGCUCGCUUUACUCCCAGUGGAGGGCGGGAAGAGUGUUUUAGGGCACUGAACUUCAUCUCCUCAUUCCUACCCUCCUGGUCUUAAGAUGGUCUCUGCAGUUUCUCGUAUUAUAUUAAUAUCAUUACAAGAUCUCAUCCACAUACAAAAAGCAGGUGAGGAGAAGGGGAAUGGUUCUCCUUGUUUGUGCAUUUUAUUUUAUUUUUUAAUAAAAAAAAAAACUUUCUCAUAACUCUCCAGCAAGCUUUCCCUCUGGCCCCAUUGGCUGGGUUAGGUGAUAUGCUCAUGCCAUAGCAGAAAAGUCUGGAUGAAGAGUUUCCAAUGACUGGGUGUGGUGGCUCAUGCCUGUGAUAGCAGCACUUUGGGAGGCUGAGGGAGGAGGAUUGCUUGAGCCUAGGAGGUCAAGGUUGUAGUGAGCCGAGAUAGUGCCACCGCACUCCAGCCUGGGGCAACAAAGCAAGACCCUGUUUCAAAAAUUUAAAAAAGUUUCCAGCAUUUUCCUUCUUUUUGAGUUUCCAGCAUUUUCAACUUCUUUAAUGAGAAGCAUGUUCAGCCAGCAAAGAAGAAGAAGAAAAAUGGUUAUAGACAAGCAACCAACAGUAUCUGCCAUAGCUAUUUUAUAGCUGUUUAAACUUGGCUGGGGGUGAAAGAUGCCCUUCAGUGUCCCAAAUGAGAGAAGAGAAUUUUAAUUGGGAGUGGCCAAGGUUCACAAUUUCAGCCUGGAGGAAAGUAAAUUAAAGAGGGAAAUUUGGAUACACAAAGAGAUGCCAGGGAUUAACCUACCCAGAGGAAAGGCCACGUGAGGACACAGCAAGAAGGUGGCCGUCUGCAAGCCGAGAGAGGCCUCAGAAGAAGCCAAACCUGCUGAUACCUUGGACUUCCCAGCCUCCAGAUUUGUGAGAAAUAAACUACUGUUGUUUUAAGUCACCCAGUCUAUGAUAUUUUGUUAUAACAGCCCUAGCAAACUAAUACAAGGAUAUUCAUCAUUCUAUGUUUUUGUGCAUUGAAAUGCAUAAAUAUUUCAGCCUCAAUAUUUUCACAGAUGCUGUCUUUUUUGUUUUCAUUCAGAGUAGCUUUCUUCAACAAAUAUUUCAUAAGAACAACUUCAUAAUAUAAAUUGUCUCUAUUUAUGAUUCCACAUAAUUAUGGGCUUCCACAAUUUCGUUUUAUUCCAGUACAGAACAUAAAUUUAUCUAAUUAAAAAUAGGUGCUUCAGCAAAUGACUUAUCCUGCAAGUUGAAAUAUUCUAAAAUGCAAUUACAGAAUUUCAACAUUAAUAUUGUAUACUAUUUGAGGGCUUAUUGUUUAAUUUGUUCAGUACUCACUGUGCUUAUGAAAGGAUAAAUUUCAAGUUUCUCUGUUUGCAAAUGAUUUUUCCAAUAACCGCAUUUUGGUAUUUCAUUUGACAAAUACUUUGAUUAAAACUUUU